GCAUAGCCAUAAACAUUGAUAUUAACCCCACCCACAUAUCCGCCAGGGAACUACAAGCAUUAGCUUAAAACCCAAAGGACUUGGCGGUGCUUCACACCCACCUAGAGGAGCCUGUUCUAGAACCGAUAAUCCCCGUUAAACCUCACCCCCCCUUGUUCCACCCGCCUAUAUACCGCCGUCGUCAGCUUACCCUUUAAAGGCCCCAUAGUGAGCAAAAUUGGUAUAACCCAAAACGUCAGGUCGAGGUGUAGUAAAUGGGGAGGGAAGAAAUGGGCUACAUUCAUCAAAAGAUGAAUACGAAUGAUAAAUUGAAAAAUUAAUCUGAAGGAGGAUUUAGUAGUAAGAAGGAAAUAGCGAGUCCAUCUGAACACGGCACUGAAGCACG
rnacentral:rRNA from 1 species